rnacentral:tRNA from 1 species
CGGUUCGUGGGUGAGAGGAUGAUACCACCUGUCUGUAAAACAGGAUCCGCAAGGACACGCUCGUUCGAAUCGAGCCGAACCGACCA